GAAUUUUCCCUAUUGGGCGCAAGCCUGAGGGAGCAACGCCGCGUGCAGGACGACGGCUUUCGGGUUGUAAACUGCUUUUGGGGGGGAAGAUGAUGACGGUACCCCCCGAAUAAGCCCCGGCUAACUCUGUGCCAGCAGCCGCGGUAAUACAGAGGGGGCAAGCGUUGUCCGGACUGACUGGGCGUAAAGCGCACGCAGGCGGUUGUGGGCGUCGGUGCUGAAAGUCCACUGCUUAACAGUGGGAUGCGUGCCGAUACGCCAUAACUGGAGCGAUGCAGAGGCCAGUGGAAUUGCCGGUGUAGUGGUGAAAUGCGUAGAGAUCGGCAGGAACACCCAAGGGGAAGCCAGCUGGCUGGGCAUUUGCUGACGCUCAUGUGCGACAGCGUGGGGAGCGAACUGG
rnacentral:rRNA from 1 species